AGAGUUUGAUCCUGGCUCAGGACGAACGCUUGCGGCGUGCCUAAGAAAUGCAAGUCGAGCGGAUCAGGAGCAAUCCUGGUUAGCGGCGAACGGUCGCGUAACACGUAGGCAACCUGUCCGAGAGACCGGGACAACACUCCGAAAGGGGUGCUAAUACCGGAUGUGACCGAGAGAAGACCUCUUCUUUCGAUUAAAGCAUGCAAAUGGCUCUUGGAGGGGCCUGCGGCCUAUCAGCUAGAUGGCGGGGUAACGGCUCACCAUGGCGACGACGGGUAGCUGGUCUGAGAGGAUGGUCAGCCGGACUGGGACUGAGAUACGGCCCAGACUCCUACGGGGGGCAGCAAUUAGGAAUCUUGCGCAAUGGGCGAAAGCCUGACGCAGCGACGCCGCGUGGGGGAGGAAGUCCUUCGGGAUGUAAACCCCUUUUGACAAGGAAGAAAACAAUGACGGUACUUGUCGAAUAAGCCCCGGCUAACUACGUGCCAGCAGCCGCGGUAAUACGUAGGGGGCGAGCGUUGUCCGAAGUUACUGGGCGUAAAGCGCGCGUAGGCGGGGUAUUAAGUCCGCUGUGAAAGCCCGGAGCUCAACUCCGGAGGGUCGGUGGAUACUGAUACUCUUGAAGGUGCUAGGGGGAGAUGGAAUUACCGGUGUAGCGGUGAAAUGCGUAGAGAUCGGUAGGAACACCAGUGGCGAAGGCGGUCUCCUGGGGCAUACUUGACGCUGAGGCGCGAAAGCUGGGGGAGCGAACGGGAUUAGAUACCCCGGUAGUCC
rnacentral:rRNA from 1 species